rnacentral:antisense_RNA from 1 species
GACACCCACUUAACUUCGGAGUUAGUGGGACACCUUUCUUUUUGCUUAGUACGCUUUUCUGCUAUUCCUGCCGCAUAACUCUCUCUUCCCCAGGCUUUUCCCAUCUCCAUCCUAUUCUCUCGCAGGCCGGUUUUUCUUCCGCCUCUCUGGGGAUUUUCGCGUUGGUUCUCCCUGCCCCCAGGAGUGAGGCGGGUAACGCCCACGCCUACCUCCGGUGCUGGGGGAAAAGAUUACUUCCCAGAUGCAGUAUUUACAUCUCCUCCGCCCUACUCUUCCAACUCUGCCUGAAAUAAGUGUGGUUCUCCUGUCUGUCAGACUAUGAAGAGUUCUCAAAUAUGUCUUUCCCAGCGAGGGAGAGGAGAUGCGUCUAUGAGAUUCAUCCAUAUUGUUGUGUGUAACAAUGGUCCAUUCUUUUUCACUACUGUGUAUUACUUCAUUAUAUAAAUAUUCAACGAUUUGUAUACUCAUCCUACUGUUGGUGGACAUUUGAGUUGCUUCAUGUUUCUGCCUUUGAUGAAGCUGCUGCAGACAUUCUUACACAUGUCUUUUGGUGGACAUAGCAUUCAUUUAUGUUGUGUGUAUAUAUAUAUAUAUAUAUAUAUACCUAGGAUUGGAUUCCUGGUUCAUAGAGUGUUCACAUAUUAAACUUUAAAUACACUGCCAGUUUUUAAAUUCGUAUAACAAUUUAGGUUCCAACCAGUGAUAUGAGAUUUCCGGUUGUUUCACAUCUUUGCCAGUAUUGGUAUUUUCAGUCUUUUUAAUUUAAAAAAGGGGGGGGGG